UAGAAGGGAUACCCGGCCUAGCUGCCAUG
rnacentral:sRNA from 1 species